GUCAUCGCGCUUGGUUGAAA
rnacentral:snRNA from 1 species